UUUCCGUAGGUGAAAAUGCGGAAGGAUAAUUACAGAGUUCGUGACCUUCGGGGUAGACCUCCCACCCUUUGUAUACAUACCAUUGUUGCUUCGGCGGCUCGCCGCAAGGCCCUCGGCUUCGGCUGGGGCGUGGCCGCCGGAGGACCCCCAACCCUGAAUUACAGUGUCGUCCGAGUACUAUAUAAUAGUUAAAACUUUCAACAACGGAUCUCUUGGUUCUGGCAUCGAUGCAGAACGCAGC
rnacentral:misc_RNA from 1 species